rnacentral:RNase_P_RNA from 1 species
UAAAGCAGCCGGAUAAUCGCGGAUUUCGGGAUACUCCGAAAGAUGAGGAAAGUCCGUGCAUCCAAGGACAGAUCGCCGGAGAAACUCCGGACGGCGUGAGCCGGUGGAUAGGACCACAGAAAAUAUACAGCCGAUGGACAAAUGUCACAGGCAAUGGUGCAACGGUGAGUUAAGAGCUUCACCGGCGGUGUUGAGAAAUACCGGCCAGGCAACCCCCGAUCGGAUGCAAGAUUGAUUUGAAGGUUUUAAAGGCUGUCCGCCCACUUCUAAAAAAUCGCUAGAGAUUGUGAGCAAUCACAAUACCAGACAGAUGAUUAUCUAAAACAGAACACGGCUUACGGGCUGCUUUAUUUU